AGUGAACGCUGGCGGUAGGCCUAACACAUGCAAGUCGAACGGCAGCACAGUAAGAGCUUGCUCUUACGGGUGGCGAGUGGCGGACGGGUGAGGAACACAUCGGAAUCUACUUUUUCGUGGGGGAUAACGUAGGGAAACUUACGCUAAUACCGCAUACGACCUACGGGUGAAAGCAGGGGAUCUUCGGACCUUGCGCGAUUGAAUGAGCCGAUGUCGGAUUAGCUAGUUGGCGGGGUAAAGGCCCACCAAGGCGACGAUCCGUAGCUGGUCUGAGAGGAUGAUCAGACACACUGGAACUGAGACACGGUCCAGACUCCUACGGGAGGCAGCAGUGGGGAAUAUUGGACAAUGGGCGCAAGCCUGAUCCAGCCAUACCGCGUGGGUGAAGAAGGCCUUCGGGUUGUAAAGCCCUUUUGUUGGGAAAGAAAAGCAGCAGGUUAAUACCCCGCUGUUCUGACGGUACCCAAAGAAUAAGCACCGGCUAACUUCGUG
rnacentral:rRNA from 1 species